AAGCGAGAUGGUGACAUGGAGCAAAUCCCAAAAAUAACGUCCCAGUUCGGAUUGCAGCCUGCAACUCGGCUGCAUGAAGCUGGAAUCGCUAGUAAUCGCGGAUCAGAAUGCCGCGGUGAAUACGUUCCCGGGUCUUGUACACACCGCCCGUCACACCAUGGGAGUAGGUAAUGCCCGAAGUCGGUGACCUAACCGGAAGGAAGGAGCCGCCGAAGGCAGGACUUAUAACUGGGGUGAAGUCGUAACAAGGUACC
rnacentral:rRNA from 1 species